rnacentral:rRNA from 1 species
CUAGUAACGGCCGCCAGUGUGCUGGAAUUCGCCCUUCGGUGUGUACAAGGCCCGGGAACGUAUUCACCGCGCCAUGGCUGAUGCGCGAUUACUAGCGAAUCCAGCUUCACGGAGUCGGGUUGCAGACUCCGAUCCGAACUGAGACGUGGUUUGGGGAUUCGCUCCCUGUCGCCAGGUGGCUUCCCUUUGUCCACGCCAUUGUAACACGUGUGUCGCCCCGGAUGUAAGGGCCGUGCUGAUUUGACGUCAUCCCCGCCUUCCUCGCAGCUUACGCUGGCAGUCCCACCAGAGUCCUCAGCAUCACCUGUUAGUAACUAGUGGCAAGGGUUGCGCUCGUUAUGGCACUUAAGCCGACACCUCACGGCACGAGCUGACGACAACCAUGCAGCACCUCGCAAACGGCUAUUGCUAGAAAAGGUGUUUCCACCUCGGUCCGAAUGCGUUCAAACCCGGGUAAGGUUCCUCGCGUAUCAUCGAAUUAAACCACAUGUUCCUCCGCUUGUGCGGGCCCCCGUCAAUUCCUUUGAGUUUCACCGUUGCCGGCGUACUCCCCAGGUGGAUCACUUAACGCUUUCGCUGUGCCGCUUACACUGUAUCGCAAACAGCUAGUGAUCAUCGUUUACUGCGUGGACUACCAGGGUAUCUAAUCCUGUUUGAUCCCCACGCUUUCGUGCAUCAGCGUCAGUCAUGGCUUGGCAGGCUGCCUUCGCAAUCGGGGUUCUGCGUGAUAUCUAAGCAUUUCACCGCUACACCACGCAUUCCGCCUGCCUCAAACAUACUCAAGCCCCCCAGUUUCAACGGCAAUUCUAUGGUUGAGCCACAGACUUUCACCGCUGACUUAAAAGGCCGCCUACGCACCCUUUAAACCCAAUAAAUCCGGAUAACGCUCGAAUCCUCCGUAUUACCGCGGCUGCUGGCACGGAGUUAGCCGAUCCUUAUUCAUAAGGUACAUACAAAACGGGACACGUCCCGCACUUUAUUCCCUUAUAAAAAGAGGUUUACGAUCCAUAGAACCUUCAUCCCUCACGCGACUUGGCUGGUUCAGGCUUACGCCCAUUGACCAAUAUUCCUCACUGCU